AUUAGGUGUAAGUACCUGGGGCUCUGCUGAACUGGAGCUUGUUUAACUUGGUUUACCUUAAACCAAAGAGUUUCAGACAACUUCCUGUGUAUGAUUUGGAGCUGCUGGUUGUGUACUGUAAGCUGCAGGACUCCUGUGUAACGGAUUGUAAAGCUCCAGUCUUCUCUACAUGGUAAAGGGUAACAUAUUCUAAAAGUGGCAUCCCAAGGCAGUAGGGGAGAGAUGUAGCCCUUGGGAGGAGCCAGAAUGAUGGCCACUGGUGAAGAUGAGCAAGAUAAUGGUCAACAUUUCAGGUUGUCCUGCAAGGGACGGUGGUCACCCCCCCCACAGUUUCUAAAUGCUGCUGAAUGACUUCUUUGAAAGAUCUCUAAUAUGGAAAGAGCUGGUUGUACUUUAAAGAAGCCUAAUAUCUAU